rnacentral:rRNA from 1 species
AACGUAGGAGACAAACGUUAUCCGGAGUUACUGGGCGUAAAGGGCGUGUAGGUGGUUUCGUAAGUCUGGCGUGAAAUAUCUCGGCUUAACCGAGGCAGGUCGUCGGAUACUGCGGAACUGGAGGACGGAAGAGGCGAGUGGAAUUCCUGGUGUAGCGGUGAAAUGCGCAGAUAUCAGGAGGAACACCAAUGGCGAAGGCAGCUCGCUGGGACGGUACUGACGCUGAGGCGCGAAAGCGUGGGGAGCAAACAGG